GUAAUUUCACGGGCAGUACAACAUCAACCAAAAUUGGAGCUUAUACAGAGAAGAUUAGCGGCUCCUGCAAAAGGGAUGACACGCGAAAAUCGCGGAAGCGCCCUCUUUCU